ensembl:lncRNA
CCCUAUUCCCUAUAUAGUGGUACUACAUUAGACCAGGGCCCUAUUCCCUAUAUAGUGCACUACUAUAGACCAGGGCCCUAUUCCCUAUAUAGUGCACUACUAUAGACCAGGGCCCUAUUCCCUAUAUAGUGCACCACUAUAGACCAGGGCCCUAUUCCCUAUAUAGUGCACCACUAUAGACCAGGGCCCUAUUCUCUAUAUAGUGCACCACUAUAGACCAGGGCCCUAUUCCUAUAUAGUGCACUACUAUAGACCAGGGCCCUAUUCCCUAUAUAGUGCACCACUAUAGACCAGGGCCCUAUUCCCUAUAUAGUGCACUACUAUAGACCAGGGCCCUAUUCCCUAUAUAGUGCACUACUAUAGACCAGGGCCCUAUUCCCUAUAUAGUGCACCACUAUAGACCAGGGCCCUAUUCUCUAUAUAGUGCACCACUAUAGACCAGGGCCCUAUUCUCUAUAUAGUGCACCACUAUAGACCAGGGCCCUAUUCUCUAUAUAGUGCACUACUUUAGACCAGGGCCCUAUUCCCUAUAUAGUGCACUACUAUAGACCAGGGCCCUAUUCCCUAUAUAGUGCACCACUAUAGACCAGGGCCCUAUUCUCUAUAUAGUGCACCACUAUAGACCAGGGCCCUAUUCUCUAUAUAGUGCACUACUAUAGACCAGGGCCCUAUUCCCUAUAUAGUGCACUACUAUAGACCAGGGCCCUAUUCCCUAUAUAGUGCACUACUAUAGACCAGGGCCCUAUUCCCUAUAUAGUGCACCACUAUAGACCAGGGCCCUAUUCUCUAUAUAGAGCACUACAUUAUGGACACAGAUUCAUGUAACUAAGUUAUUACAAAUAAUAAAGACGUCAACUCGAGACAGGAAUGUGAGAUUAGUUAUUCCCCAAAUUUUCACUCAAUUUUGACAUCUAUUUAAACAGGUUUACUGUCAGUUAAACAAACGAUGUAGUCCAGCUAACAUCUCAUAUAUUAACUCAGAUCUCAUGUGGGAUGGCAGGGUAGCCUAGUGGUUAGAGUGUAGAGGUGGCAGGGUAGCCUAGUGGUUAGAGUGUAGAGGUGGCAGGGUAGCCUAGUGGUUAGAGUGUAGAGGUGGCAGGGUAGUCUAGUGGUUAGAGUGUAGAGGUGGCAGGGUAGCCUAGUGGUUAGAGUGUAGAGGUGGCAGGGUAGUCUAGUGGUUAGAGUGUAGAGGUGGCAGGGUAGCCUAGUGGUUAGAGUGUAGAGGCGGCAGGGUAGCCUAGUGGUUAGAGUGUAGAGGUGGCAGGGUAGCCUAGUGGUUAGAGUGUAGAGGUGGCAGGGUAGUCUAGUGGUUAGAGUGUAGAGGUGGCAGGGUAGUCUAGUGGUUAGAGUGUAUAGGUGGCAGGGUAGUCUAGUGGUUAGAGUGUAGAGGUGGCAGGGUAGUCUAGUGGUUAGAGUGUAGAGGUGGCAGGGUAGCCUAGUGGUUAGAGUGUAGAGGUGGCAGGGUAGCCUAGUGGUUAGAGUGUAGAGGUGGCAGGGUAGCCUAGUGGUUAGAGUGUAUAGGUGGCAGGGUAGUCUAGUGGUUAGAGUGUAGAGGUGGCAGGGUAGCCUAGUGGUUAGAGUGUAGAGGUGGCAGGGUAGCCUAGUGGUUAGAGUGUAGAGGUGGCAGGGUAGCCUAGUGGUUAGAGUGGAGG